GAUGAACGCUGGCGGCGUGCUUAACACAUGCAAGUCGAACGAAGCGAUUUAACGGAAGUUUUCGGAUGGAAGUUAGAUUGACUGAGUGGCGGACGGGUGAGUAACGCGUGGGUAACCUGCCUCAUACAGGGGGAUAACAGUUAGAAAUGACUGCUAAUACCGCAUAAGCGCACAGCAUCGCAUGAUGCAGUGUGAAAAAACUCCGGUGGUAUGAGAUGGACCCGCGUCUGAUUAGCUGGUUGGUGGGUAACGGCCUACCAAGGCGACGAUCAGUAGCCGACCUGAGAGGUGACCGGCCACAUUGGGACUGAGACACGGCCCAAAACUCCUACGGGAGGCAGCAUGGGGAAUAUUGCACAAAUGGGCGAAAGACCUGAUGCAGCGACGCCGCGUGAG
rnacentral:rRNA from 1 species